UUUUAGAAUUUAAUUUAAAGUCUAACCUGCCCACUGAAUAAUUUUAAAUGGCCGCAGUAUCUUAACUGUGCAAAGGUAGCAUAAUCAUUAGUCUUUUAAUUGAAGGCUGGAAUGAAUGGUUGAAUGAAAUAUUAACUGUUUCAUAAAAAUUUAAAAUAAAAUUUUAUUUUUUAGUUAAAAAGCUAAAAUAAUUUUAAAAGACGAGAAGACCCUAUAAAUCUUUAUAUUUUGGUAAUUUUAAUUAUUUAGAUAAAUUUAAUUAUAAUUAUUUAAAAUAUUUUAUUGGGGUGAUAUUAAAAUUUAAUAAACUUUUAAUUUAUUAUUUACAUAAAUUAAUGAAUUAUUGAUCCAUUUAUUAUGAUUAAAAAUUUAAGUUACUUUAGGGAUAACAGCGUAAUUUUUUUAGAGAGUUCAUAUUGAUAAAAA
rnacentral:rRNA from 1 species